GUCCACGUAACAGACACCUGCCCUUGUGGAAGGCUGCCUGGAGUCCCGCUGUUCUCCGCCUCUCCAUCUCUUCAGUUGGUCAAGAUGAAGAAAGAGUGACAAGUCAAGAUGUGGAGCAUGAACCUGGCACACACACUUUCUCACACCCACCUACACAUACACACACACACACACACACAUACACAUAUACACACACACACACACGUGACACAACUACCGCAUGCAUCAGGCAGGUAAGUAGUACAAAGAACGGCUCAACAGCUAUGAAGUUCAAUGUGUGUAGUCAAAGCCGAUAAUAUUGAACAAAAUGUAGUUUUGAACUUUAUAUUUCUGUUGUACAGACCUUCCUAUACAGGUAAUCAUUUUUAUUAUUAUUUAUUUUAAAGUUGAAUGAUAACUCAUAUUACUUCACAGCACAGCAUUUUCAGCUGUUAAAUUGGUUCAGACCUGUACAUGAAUGUGUCCUGUGAGGGUGGUGAUGGAAUCCUCUGUUGUUCACAAUUGCCACUCCGAUGCAUUGGAGCCAACAGUGAUGUAAAUGAAGCGCAUGUCAUCGGGCAUCAACCCAACCUUAUCACUGGGUGACUGACUGCAGCCCAUUCCCAGAGGUCUGUGCCUGUGAGACAGAAAUCUACUUCUGACUCACUUCUGUCACUCCUUGUUUGAGUAAGGUUUUCUGAAUGCCUGUAUUCCAUAUUUGAUGUUGCUUACAGCUUGGAGUGUACAUUUGGGGGUUAUUUAUGACCCGCCAGCUGGAGGCAGAAUUACCUGCCUUCAAAUUUGAUUCUUGAUACAGUGUAUCUGCCUUACUUUUAGUUCUGUGUUACACUAUUUUAUUGCUUCACAUCUCACCAAGGCUGUGUUGUUCUGGGUGAGGAAACUGGUCAAACUUUGAGCUAGAACGCUAAAAUGAAACUGCACGUAACCUUUUUUUCUUUGAAAGAAUGCAUUACUGUACUGUUGAGUUUUUUCAAAUACUUUUUAUUCAUGCAUUUGCAAUACUUAUAAUAUACUUAAUUAUAAUUAAAAUAUAAAUAUA